UACGAGGGGGGCAAGCGUUGUUCGGAUUUAUUGGGCGUAAAGGGUGCGUAGGCGGUCUGGCAAGUCUUGUGUGAAAUCUUCGGGCUCAACCCGAAGUCUGCACAAGAAACUGCCGGGCUUGAGUAUGGGAGAGGUGAGUGGAAUUUCCGGUGUAGCGGGUGAAAUGCGUAGAUAUCGGGAAGGAACACCUGUGGCGAAAGCGGCUCACUGGACCAUAACUGACGCUGAGGCACGAAAGCUAGGGGAGCAAACAGG
rnacentral:rRNA from 1 species